CAAAGCCUAGUUGUUGUCCUGCCAGAAGGACAGGCCAAAACUACCUCCUUUCAGUGUUUACAAAAGUGCAGUCAAUCUGAGGAGUACAGAAGAGCAGCUCUGGAGAGUCAUAGCCUGUGGAUCCCAUGGAUGAACAAUUAUAGGGAUCAAAGUCCCAGGAAAACGGAGAAUUGCAGGGAACUGAGACAACUUAAGAGAGAACUGACUAUUUUUCCCAAGUCUCUGUGGGAAGGAUUGAUGCAUACAGAAGCUGCACUUAGUAGAUUACGGGGAAAGAAGAGCAUAAAGCUUCAAAAUUCAUCCUGAAUUAAAAUAUUGAUGAAACAGACCUUAAAGAAGGUACUAUGUCCUAGGUACUAUGCCAAGCACUGGCAGGGAAGAACCAAAACAAUCAAGCAAGACAGUCCUUGUCCUCAAGGAACUUACAUUCUGAUGAGAGGAGACUAUACAGAAAGAAGAGCUGCAAAAGGGAGAGGGUUCACUCAGGGUUACAGCAUGGAGACAGCCAAUAAGAAACUUGGCUGAGUAUCAGAGAUAUUAAAUGACUCGCUCAUGGCCACAGAGAUACUGUCAGAGAAAUUAUUUUGCACUCAGGUCUUCCAGACUAUAAAUCCAGCAAUCAAUCUACUAUGAAAUUCUGCCUUCUUCUAUAGCAUACAUACAGUUGAACAUGCAUGAACUAUCAAUGGAUUGUGAGCUGUGGUGAAUGGAGUUCCCAUACUGGCAAAAUCACAGAUCCUUGAACUCUAUAGGAUAAUGACUGUUUUCUGUCUUUGAUAUUUAUGAUUUUUAAAAAUGUGUGUGUGUGUGUGUGGGGGGGUAUUUCCUGGUUUCCAUGUGAACUCUCAUUCUGCUGUUUUGACUAGAAGUAAAAAAAAAAUUAACUUAUUUUGCUUAAGUUUGCUUAGUUAUUUAGAAUAAGCUUAAAAGUCCAGUAUAUCAUUCAUUAGACUGAUCAAAGCAAGCCAACAGUGGUAAACAGUAAGUAUUAAAGUGACUAUUUUUUUAAUACUCUCUUGAUGUAUUUUCUUAUAUUUCAGUAUACUACACUGUUCACGAUUUACAAUAUUUUGAAAAUUACACAAAACAAACCUAACCAAAUUAGAGAUCUUUGCAAGUAUUUGGGCAUGUUAGCUCUAGCUCCCAAAGAUCUUUUAAAGCUGAAGAAAUAACAGAUGUUUCCAUAUUUUUUUCUUUAAAUACUAAAAGAUAAAAGAUACCUUUAAAGUUAAAAAAGAGGGAAAUGAAAUAACUAUGCUACUGUACCUGAGAUUAUUCCUUGGCAUCAUUGUACAAUGAUAUUGUUUCAGCUUAUUGACUGACUGACUGAUACAUAGCAGAAUAAAAUUGGCUGAAUUUAAUGUGCCAGCUAUACUAUUCAGUAUUUGAUAUCUGGUCAUAAUCAAGGGCUUGACUCUCAACUUAUUGAAUUCAUCACUUUGGAAAUUAGAACAAAUAAAAUUUUGGAAAAAGAGUCCAGUGACAAAUAUUUAAUUUUUUUUACCCACCAUUUUACCUUUCAUGUGUUCUAAAUUAUUCUUUUAGCAAUAAGUAUGGAAAUGACAUGCAACUUAAUUUUAGGAUCUGAUUUAAAUUGUCUUUUUUUCCUAACCCUGAAUUAUAUUUUAUUAAUUCUGAGAAUUCAUUUUAUAAAUUCAGUCAAAGGUUCUUAUUAUACUUCCUAUGUGUAAAAUAAACUAUGGAGAUGAUUCUGAAACAAUUCAAGAGAAGCUCAUUUUUAUGAUCUAAGUCAGUGGUGUCAAAUUCAAAUGGAAACAGGGGCCACUAAUAUGAACACGAAGAUGCCUGUAGGCCAUAGAUUGAUUUAAUUUAAAAAUGUAAUGUUAUUUAUGUUUUAUUAUAUUUUUAUUUACUUUGUGAAAUAUUUCCCAAUCACAUUUUAAUCUGGUGCAGGCAGCACUCAGGAAUAUUGUAGGCCAUUUUUUUUGACACCUCCCAUCUAAGCAAUGCAAUGUAUUUUAGUAAAAUGCCUUGGAAAAUCUGAGGAUUGUGUCAGAUGUUUUCCUUUCUUCAUCUGUCAUUUGCUAAUUACAUGUUUAUGACCCAGAAGUUUUUGAAGAUGGAUUAAAAAAAGGAAAAAAGAA